CCAUCAGCUUGUUGGUGGGGUAACGGCCCACCGUUGCGACGACGGGUAGGUGGUCUGAGAGGAUGGUCACCCACACUGGGACUGAGACACUGCCCAGACUCCUACGGGAGGCUGCAGUCGAGAGUGGGCCGCCAUGGGCGAAAGCCUGACGGUGCAGUGCCGCGUGGGGGAUGAAGGCCUUCGGGUCGUAAACCCCUGUCAGAAGGGACGAAGCAAGUGACGGUACCUUCAGAGGAAGCCACGGCUAACUACGUGCCAGCAGCCGCAGUAACACGUAGGUGGCGAGCGUGAUUCGGAUUUACUGGGCGUAGAGGGUCCGCAGGGGGUUUGCCAAGUCCGGUGUGAAAGUCCAGGGCUCAACCCUGGAACUGCGCCGGAUACUGGUGAACUGGAGUGCGCGAAGGGCAGGCGGAAUUCCUGGUGUAGCGGUGGAAUGCGUGGAUAUCAGGAAGAACACCGACGGCGAAAGCAGCCUGCUGGCGCGCCACUGACCCUCAUGGACGAAAGCGUGGGUAGCGAGCAGGAUUAGAUACCCUGGUAGUCCACGCCGUAAACGGUGCAGACCCGAUGCGGGGGGCAGCCCCCUCCGUGUCCAAGCCAACGCGUUAAGUCUCCCGCCUGGGGACUACGGUCGCUAGGCUGACACUCCAAGGAAUUGACGGGGGCCCGCACAAGCGGUGGAGCAUGUGGCUUAAUUCGAGUCCAUGCGAAGAACCUUACCCGGACUUGACAUCGAGCGACCGGCGUGGAUACACGCCUUUCCGUUCGGGGACGCGAAGACAGCUGCUGCAUGCCCGUCGUCAGCUCGUGCCGUGAGGUGAUCGGUUAAGUCCGGCCACGAGCGCAACACGUAUUCUCAGUUGCCAUCAGGUAAAGCUGGGCACUCUGGCGAGACUGCCCGUCUCAAGCGGGAGGAAGGCGCGGAUGACGUCAAGUCCGUAUGGCCCGUACGUCCGGGGCAGCACACGUGCUACAAUGGGCGGCACAGCGGGACGCGACACCGCGAGUCACGAGCGAAUCCUCAAAGCCGCCCCCAGUUCGGAUCGGAGUCUGCAA
rnacentral:rRNA from 1 species